GUUCUCCACGUAAACCAUUGAAAUCGGUUAAAUAAAACGUGGUUCUGUUUUUAAAAAUCUCCGGGAAACUUGCGUGUUUUUAGAGCAGUGUGAGCAAACCACGCGGCAGUCGAUGCGACGUCUGUGGCUGCUGAUACAAUCUGGUUUGCAAUGCAUCAUGGAAAUUGUAGUUGAUUUACAUGUACAGUGUUAAAUCCGCUUUGCAAAAAGACUACUUUUCCCAGAAUGCACCCAGUGACACCAUCCCGCCUACCAGAGGAUCCGGAAGUUGCGUAGCAGCUAUUCAGCAACUCAACGCAGUCGCGGUGAAAUUCAAAUAACUAAGUUAGUUGUUCUAACUUCGACAAUCACGCUGUGUUGGUUUUAUCUUUUGAAGUUUUAAUACAUGAUCAAGUGAAGAACAUCGGAAGCUGCUUCUUGCUGAACAACAGCUGAUCUUUCUGAGGCCACCAAAACGGAAAAUAAAAUGAAACAGGCGACUAAUGGAUGAAAAUGACCCCGAUGAGGAGGCUACUGCAGCCAUGGCAAGUAGAGAAGUUCACAAGACCUCACAGAACAUCGCAGGCAACAGGAUUUAACUUUACAGUCUCACAGACAGGCAAUACAGUCACCAUGGCAUCAUGAAACACCCAGACCACAGAGAAAAAGCCUCUCAAGUGAUGACCGAUUAAUAAGAUUACGGUGGCUGAGAGGUCUCAACAUUCUGCAACAGAAGAAAAUUGAUGCAAACAGAAAAAAAAACCCUGUAAAAUAAGAACAUCUUUAUCACAUGUGCUAAACACAACCAAAUACAUAAAUGCUCUCCAAAUGUCCGACCAACAAAUAUCUACUCGACAAUGGUGUUCAUUGUUUUAUUUUUAUUAUUAUUUAUUGUUUGCAUUGUAUUUGCAGCAUGUGUGUUGUGAAACUGAUGUCUUGACUUGCUGGUGUUUUUCUUGUUUGCAUGUUUUCUUCUGUUGCAGGACUUUGAGAUCUCUCGGCCAACAUAUUUUUGUUAAUUUUUGUAUCUCAUUAUUUAAGAAUGCCACAUACACAUUUUUGUAACAUUUUAAUUUAUUGCUGUCUUUUUAUUAUUCUUGUAAUGUGAAUUAUAGUUAUAUUUUGUUUUGUCUUACUCUAGUAUUGGCUUGUAUUUUGUUGUUUAUCCUUUUAUCUGGCUGAGAUUUUCUUCCCUUCUCAAUAAAAUAAUGUUCUUUGCA